UAGAGCCGUAGUAGACCACUACGUUGAUAGGCUGGGUGUGGAAGCGCGGCAACGCGUGAAGCUGACCAGUACUAAUAGCUCAAUUGGCUUGAUUUAUG
rnacentral:rRNA from 1 species